ACUGGCUCGGAUUGGCUGAAGCGCUGUCAACUUUGCACUGGGACAGUAAAAGGCUCAGCUGUCGCACAUUAUUCCAUUGCCCUCGACCCAUGACAAGUAAACAGUGACCAAAGUUAAAGCGCUUUGAAGAGGGCUGACAUGGCACACUGUUCCUUUACACAUGGAGGUUAGCUGAUCACAAAUCACCAAACCGAGGAGACAGAGACACCAUGGCUCUCCUGAGGUCCGUUACAGUAGCGGUAGCUUCUCUCCUCCAUUGACAUCCUCUCUUCUCCUCUUCCACCACCACUUCCUCUCUCCACUCAUCUACCCAUCCACCCUCAGCACCAUCCCUCCCCCCAUCCAUCCACCCCUACAACCUCAGCACCACCCCUCCCCCCAUCCAUCCACCUCUACAACAUCAGCACCACCGCUACAACCUCAGCACCACC
rnacentral:lncRNA from 13 species